CGGUAAUUCCAGCUCCAAUAGCGUAUACUAAAGUUGUUGCAGUUAAAAAGCUCGUAGUUGGAUUUCUGCGGGGACGGAGCGGCCGGUCGCAACUUGCGACUCGAGCUAGCGCUUUCCCCGCAUCCUGCCGCGAACCGUGCUACCAUUAGCUUGGUGGCGCUGGGGAUCGGCUCGAUUACUUUGAGAAAAAUAGAGUGUUCAAAGCAGGCCACACGCCUUGAAUAAGUUAGCAUGGAAUAAUGACUAAGGACUUUGGUUCUUUUCGUUGGUGUUCGGGACUGAAGUAAUGAUUGAUAGGGACAGUUGGGGCGGUCCGUAUUCCAAAGCGAGAGGUGAAAUUCUUAGACCUUCGGAAGACGAACAGCUGCGAAAGCGUUCCGCAAGGAUGUUCCCUUUGAUCAAGAACGAAAGUUGGGGGAUCGAAGACGAUCAGAUACCGUCGUAGUCUCAACUAUAAACUAUACCAGCUAGGGAUCGGCCAACGUUUAAUUUAUCGACUUGGUCGGCACCUUAUGAGAAAUCAAAGCAUCUGGGUUCCGGGGGGAGUAUGGUCGCAAGGCUGAAACUUAAAGGAAUUGACGGAAGGGCACCACCAGCCGUGGAGCCUGUGGCUUAAUUUGACUCAACACGGGAAAACUUACCAGGUCCGGACAUAGUAAGGAUUGACAGAUUGAUAGCUCUUUCUUGAUUCUGUGGGUGGUGGUGCAUGGCCGUUUUUAGUCGGUGGAUGUGAUCUGUCUGCUUAAUUGCGUUAACGGACGAGACCCCAGCCUGCUAAAUAGCGCGGCCGAGCUUUGCUCGGUGCGAGCUUCUUAGAGGGACCAUGAUGCGCGAUAGCACAAGGAAGUUUGGGGCAACAACAGGUCUGUGAUGCCCUUAGAUGUUCUGGUCCGCACACGGGCUACACUGGCGCCUGCAACGAGCAUAUCAGCUGGCCCGAGAGGGUCUUGGCUAAUCUUUGGAACCGGCGCCGUGCUUGGGAUUGACCAUUGCAAUUGUUGGUCAUGCAACGAGGAAUGCCUUGUAAACGCGAGUCAUCAGCUCGCAUUGAAUACGUCCCUGCCCUUUGUACACACCGCCCGUCGCUCCUACCGAUGAAUGUUCCGAUGAAAUUUUCGGAGAGCACCAGAGAACGGGGCUCCGCCUUGCAGAUCUGGAGGCUCAAAGUCACUUAAAUCUGAACAUUUCGAGGAAGGAGAAGUCGUAACAAGGUAACC
rnacentral:rRNA from 1 species